AAGAAGAUACCAAAGGCGCACGGCGGAUGCCUUGGCGCGGGAAGUCGACGAAGGACGCGGCAAGCUGCGAUAAGCUCGGGGGAGGGGCAAACACCCGCCGAUCCCGAGGUCUCCGAAUGGGGGAACCCAGCGGGGGUCAUGCCCCGCUACUCCGGCCCGAACCCAUAGGGCCGGCAGAGGCAACCGGGGGAACUGAAACAUCUAAGUACCCCGAGGAAGAGAAAUCAACCGAGAUCCCGGGAGUAGCGGCGAGCGAAACCGGGCCAGCGCAAACCUGGACGAGCGUAGAAGCCUUGGGGCGUUGCCGUCGCAGGGGUUGCGGGACCGCCCGCACGGGGAGCCCAAGCUCCCCGACCGAGUUACAAACCGCGCAUGCAGCGGAACGGCCUGGGAAGGCCGGCGGAACAGGGUGAGAGCCCCGUACGCGUAGCAUGGGCGGCUCGGAAGGCGGCUCCCGAGUAGCGCCGGGCACGUGAAACCCGGUGCGAAGCAGGGGGGACCACCCUCCAACGCUGAACACUCUCCCGCGACCGAUAGCGAACCAGUACCGUGAGGGAAAGGUGAAAAGCACCCCGAGAGGGGAGUGAAACAGCGCCUGAAACCGUGCGCCCGCAAGCAGUCGGAGCACCCAUGCGGUGUGACGGCGUGCCUUUUGUAGAAUGAGCCAGCGAGUCGCGGCAUGCGGCGAGGUUAAGCUUGGAAGCGAGCCGCAGCGAAAGCGAGCCUUUAAGACGGCGAGUGAGUCGCAUGCCGCGGACGCGAAGCCGGGUGAGCUAUCCUUGGGCAGGCUGAAGCGGGGGUAAGACCCCGUGGAGGGCCGAACCCACUUCGGUUGAAAACGGAGGGGAUGACCCGAGGAUAGGGGUGAAAGGCCAAUCAAACCCGGAGAUAUCUCGUUCUCCCCGAAAUAGCUUUAGGGCUAGCCCCGGCCGUUCUCCGAUGGCGGUAGAGCACUGGAUCGUCGAGGGGGCCUCACCGCCUACCGACGCGAACCAAACUCCGAAUGCCGCAGGACCAGAGGCCGGGAGUCAGAGGGCGUGGGCUAAGCUGCGCGCUCGAGAGGGAAACAGCCCAGACCGCCCGCUAAGGCCCCCAAGUCCGUGCCGAGUGGCAAAGGAUGUGCGUUUGCCUAGACAACCAGGAUGUUGGCUUAGAAGCAGCCAUGCAUUUAAAGAGUGCGUAACAGCUCACUGGUCAAGUGGACAUGCGCCGACAAUUCACGGGGCUAAGCACGGCGCCGAAGCGGCGGGCUGAUGUAUUUCAGCGGUAGGGGAGCCUUCCGCGCAGGGGCGAAGCCGAGGGGCGACCCUCGGUGGACCGCGCGGAAGCGAGGAUGCUGGCAUGAGUAACGAGAGCGGCGCGGGAAACGCCGCCGCCGUAAGCCCAAGGGUUCCUGGGCAACGCUAAUCGUCCCAGGGUCAGUCGGGAGCUAAGGCGAGGCCGGGAGGCGUAGCCGAUGCGCAACAGGCGGACAUUCCUGUACCGCCUGCGGGCCGCUAACACCGAAGGGGCGACGGAGAAGGGUAGCCGGGCGGGGUUCUGGACGUCCCCGUGAAAGCGCGUAGGGCGGCGAGCAUGGAAAUCAGCUCGCCAUAGGGCCUGAGACGCGAGACGAAGCCUUUAGGCGAAGCCGGCGAGCCCAUGCUUCCGAGAAAAACCUCUAGGGAGGCCCGCGGGCGCCCGUACCAAGACCGACACAGGUGGGCGGGUAGAGCAUACCGAGGCGAUCGGGGGAACCACGGUUAAGGAACUCGGCAUACUGGCUCCGUAACUUCGGGAGAAGGAGCGCCGCUGCGGGUGGAGGCACGUGCUGCCCGAGCCUGCGGCGGCCGCAGCGAAACGGCCCAAGCGACUGUUUAUCAAAAACACAGGACUCUGCAAAGCCGCAAGGCGACGUAUAGGGUCUGACGCCUGCCCGGUGCCGGAAGGUUACGCGGAAGCGUCAGCGGGCAACCGCGAAGCGCCGAAGCCAAGCCCCGGUAAACGGCGGCCGUAACUAUAACGGUCCUAAGGUAGCGAAAUUCCUUGUCGGGUAAGUUCCGACCUGCACGAAUGGCGUAACGAUUUGGGCGCUGUCUCAACCGUGGACCCGGUGAAAUUGUACUAUUCGUGAAGAUGCGAAUUACCUGCGGAAGGACGGAAAGACCCCGUGAACCUUCACUGCAGCUUGGCAUUGGCCGUUGGCUCGGCGCGUAGAGGAUAGGCAGGAGGCUUCGAAGCGGGGACGCCAGUUCCCGUGGAGCCGCCCUUGGAAUACUGCCCUCGUCGUUCCGGCGGCCUAACUCCCGGCCGCGACCCGGCGGGAGGACCGUGCCAGGCGGGUAGUUUGACUGGGGCGGUCGCCUCCCAAAACGUAACGGAGGCGCGCAAAGGUCCGCUCAGGACGGUCGGCAACCGUCCCGAGAGCGCAAGAGUGCAAGCGGGCUUGAC
rnacentral:rRNA from 1 species